AGGCUAUCAAGAAUAACAUCCUGGGGACUGGAAAGAUGGCUCAGCGGAUCACCCGCCUCCAAUCAGAGAAGUCCAUCAAGAGAGGUGUCCAUACCACUCCACCUCCAGAUCUAAGAAAUCUAUCCGGCAAGAACCCACCAUGUCCAUCCCAAUGGCAGUGCUGGUUCAUUGUUUUUGUUUUGUUUUGUUUUGUUUAGUCUUCUGAUUUAAGAGGGUUUUUUUCUUUGUGAUGGCAUUUCACUGAGAAACCCAGGCUGACAUCAAAUGCAGUCUUGCCUCUGGAAUUAAAGGUUUACACUACCA